UCUUGGAGUUCCAUUCAUUCAUUCAACAAAUGUUUUAUUUUUCUGUUAUAGGCACUGUUCUAGGACUAGAAUUGCAGAAGUGUUCAUGGCUGAAAAAUUUUGCUUCUCGUGGGAAUCUCCCACCACUUGGUAUCUACAGUAUCUGAAUACCUCUAAGAGCACAGAAUUGUGCCUUCCAGCUGCUUAUGCUUCUACAGUAGGCCCAGUUCACUUCUUCAAGAAAUAUAUUUUGGUGCUGGGUUAUUAUGAAAUAGAGACCAUUCUCUAUGAAUAUCCUGUUAAACCAUGAUAAUACCAUCUCACUCAUUUGGAAUACAAGGAGUUCCCUAUUUGUCACUUGUAGGGAUUAAAUGAGUCAUUUUUAAUAGCAUAUCAAUUGCACAAGUAACCAUUGUAUUAAACAAACUAGACUCCAUAGGAAAGUGAUGUUAAAGUCACUUUUUUCCUCUUAUCUGUUCCUUCAGAUCCCCUCUGAAGGAGGGGUUGACUGUUUCCAUGCCUCUAUUUGAAUUCAGGCUAAUCUUAUAGCUUUCCUGGCCUCUCAGGCACAGAACAGCCUCAUUUUAGAAACUGUUCAACUCUGUGUAAUAAGCAAGCCCUCAAAUUUGUAUCCAGUAUAGAGUUCCUCCCCUUGCUCUUGCUGAUAGUUUCAGGCUGUAGUUCAUUGGCGAGGCAGGGAGGAGCAUGUCCAGGGUGACAAGGCUGAUGGUGGAGACACAGUCAACUUCUUUUUUAACUCUUUCCAACUACUGUAUUUUCCCAUCUACAGUCAGAUCUAGGGAGAGAAGGGGUCAGAGUAACAAAGUCACAAUUUUAGAUAACUGUUAAAUUGUCAGUUGGCCUCCAGGCCCCUGGUCUAUGACAUUUUUUUUUUCUCAUGGGACAAUAUUUUGAAAAGAAAUUUUUAAAUUAAGAUAUAAUUAAGGUACAGUAAGAUUCACUCUUUAUAGUGUAAUAUGAGGGGAAGGGGUGGCAGGCGCCAUGUCGGGCCGCGAAGGUGGCAAGAAGAAGCCCCUGAAGCAGCCCAAGAAGCAAGCCAAGGAGAUGGACGAGGAAGAUAAGGCAUUCAAGCAGAAGGAGGAGCAGAAGAAACUCAGGAGCUAAAAGCAAAGGCCGCGGGGAAAGGCCCCCUGGCCACUGGUGGAAUUAAGAAAUCCGGCAAAAAGUAAGCUGUUCCUUGUGCCUGAGGCAAUGAUGACCCUUAGUUCCAUUCCUGUUUAAACACCUGGAUUCCCUGCCGUGAUAUCUGUUGCCGCCUAUAGCUAGAAUGAAGUGUUGUCUUGGAACCUAUUGUACAUUUAAGAAUAAACUUUUGUA